rnacentral:rRNA from 1 species
CCUACGGGGGGCAGCAGUGAGGAAUAUUGGUCAAUGGCCGGAAGGCUGAACCAGCCAUGCCGCGUGCAGGUCAGUGCCCUAUGGGCGUUAAACUUCUUUUGUGCGGGAGCAAUAAUGGUCACGUGUGGCCAGACGAGAGUACCGUACGAAUAAGCAUCGGCUAACUCCGUGCCAGCAGCCGCGGUAAUACGGGGGAUGCAAGCGUUAUCCGGAUUUAUUGGGUUUAAAGGGUGCGUAGGCUGUGAGGUAAGUCAGCGGUGAAAUGCCCCCGCUCAACGGGGUGAAGUGCCAUUGAUACUGGCUGGCUGGAAGGCGGAUGCCGUGGGAGGAAUGUGUGGUGUAGCGGUGAAAUGCAUAGAUAUCACACAGAACACCGAUUGCGAAGGCAUCUCACGAAUCCGCGAUUGACGCUGAUGCACGAAAGCGUGGGUAUCAAACAGGAUUAGAUACCCUGGUAGUC